rnacentral:sRNA from 1 species
CGACCGCAAACGGUGUCGUUCACCGGGAGCCAAGGCCAUACGGACAGCCGGGUCGAAUGCCGA